AGCAGCCGCGGUAAUUCCAGCUCCAAUAGCGUAUAUUAAAGUUGUUGCAGUUAAAAAGCUCGUAGUUGAAUUUCGGGGUUAGUAGGUUGGUCAUGCCUCUGGUAUGUACUGGUCUCACUGGUUCCUCCUUCCUGAUGAACUGUAAUGCCAUUAAUUUGGUGUUGCAGGGAAACAGGACUGUUACUUUGAAAAAAUUAGAGUGUUUAAAGCAAGCUAACGCUUGAAUACAUUAGCAUGGAAUAAUGAAAUAGGACGUUCGAACCUAUUUUGUUGGUUUCUAGGAUUGACGUAAUGAUUAAUAGGGAUAGUUGGGGGCAUUAGUAUUCAAUUGUCAGAGGUGAAAUUCUUGGAUUUAUUGAAGACUAACUACUGCGAAAGCAUUUGCCAAGGAUGUUUUCAUUAAUCAAGAACGAAAGUUAGGGGAUCGAAGACGAUCAGAUACC
rnacentral:misc_RNA from 1 species